rnacentral:lncRNA from 1 species
ACACCGGGCAGACAAACUAGGAAUGCAUGUGUUGAGGACCCAAUAAGUCAAUAGGUAACUGGGAGUGCUUGUUGGGGACCCAACAAUCUCAAGUCAUGUCAAUGGUAAUUGCUUCCUGGAAAAAGAAUAUCAACGUCCGAAAAACUGAACAGAGGAAAAUCUCUACGCAGGGCAGACUUGAAAUAUCCAUUGACCACGACCCAAAGAGUCCAAGAGUCCAAGACUCAUUCUGCUUGCAUGUGACACUCGAUCACGUCCAACUACGCCCGUCGUAUCCUAUUCAUCCACACGGGAAGCCAGGAAUCUUCUUCGGCUGCCCAACCUAACUACUCCCAUAUACUAGUUAAAGGUUCCGGAAAAAAAAAUCAGCAUAGUUUUCACUGGGCGAAAGCAAAAGCUUUACUACGCGACAGUAGAGGGGCACAUCACCCGUUACAAUUCCAAUCAUAUUUGCUGGUACAUCAUAAUCCUAAGACAAAACCUAAAAAAAUAAAACCUCUUAAGAUUGACAACCAUGCCCGAUCUCGGCAAGUUCCAGGGUCAAUUUUAAUUUUGCUUCACGCGGUGACCGACGCAACAAGACCAGACAAACAAGUCAUGUUGGUUCACCAGCCAGUAAGUUUAUUCCCCUUUCAAAAAAGGGAAAAUAUAUUGCCUCGCACGUUCGCGCGUU